UCUCGAAAUAUGGAAUAAAACAAUUACUGUCUUUUGUUUCGGUAAAUAUGGGGUUUAAUUGACUUUUGAAAAACUGAUAUUCACUUCGGCCGUCGGCCUCAGUGAAUAUCAUUUUUUCAAAAGUCAAUAAAACCGCAUAUUUACCUCAUCAAAAGACAGUAAUUGUAUAUUAUUUCACAUGUGAAAUCAUCGGUUUUUAUUUAACUGGGAAAUCAAUGUAAUUCAUUGCAACCAAUGUAAUAACAUAUUUUCUC
rnacentral:lncRNA from 1 species